rnacentral:rRNA from 1 species
AUUGAACGCUGGCGGCAGGCCUAACACAUGCAAGUCGAACGGUAACAGCAAGCAGCUUGCUGCUUUGCUGACGAGUGGCGGACGGGUGAGUAAUGUCUGCGAAACUGCCUGCUGGAGGGGGAUAACUACUGGAAACGGUAGCUAAUACCGCAUAACGUCGCACGACCAAAGAGGGGGACCUUCGGGCCUCUUGCCAUCGGAUGUGCCCAUAUGGGAUUAGCUAGUAGGUGGGGUAAAGGGUCAACUAGGCGACGAUCCCUAGCUGGUCCAAGGGGAUGACCAGCCAGAUGGGAUCUGAGACAGGGUCGACACUCCUGCGCGAGGCCGCAGUGGGGAAUAUUGCACGAUGGGGGAAAGCGUGAUACAGCCAUGUCGGGGGUAGGAAGAAGGCCCUAGGGUGGUAAAGUACUUUAGGCCGUGAGGAAGGGAGUAAAGUUAAUACCGUAGCUCAUUGACGUUACCCGCAGAAUAAGCACCGGCUAACUCCGUG